rnacentral:rRNA from 1 species
CUACGGGGCGCACCAGUGAGGAAUAUUGCACAAUGGGGGGAACCCUGAUGCAGCAACGCCGCGUGGAGGAUGACGCAUUUCGGUGUGUAAACUCCUUUUAUAUGUCAAGAAAAUGACGGUAGCAUAUGAAUAAGCACCGGCUAACUCCGUGCCAGCAGCCGCGGUAAUAGCGGAGGGUGCAAGCGUUACUCGGAAUCACUGGGCGUAAAGGACGCGUAGGCGGGUUGGAAAGUCAGGUGUGAAAUCCUACAGCUUAACUGUAGAACUGAACUUGAAACUUCUAAUCUAGAGUAUGGGAGGGGGAGAUGGAAUUAGUGGUGUAGGGGUAAAAUCCGUAGAUAUCACUAGGAAUACCUAAAGCGAAGGCGAUCUCCUGGAACAUUACUGACGCUAAGGCGUGAAAGCGUGGGGAGCAAACAGGAUUAGAUACCCGAGUAGUC